UACAGAGGUCUCAAGCGUUGUUCGGAUUCAUUGGGCGUAAAGGGUGCGUAGGCGGCCCGCUAAGUCGAACGUGAAAUCCCCGAGCUCAACUCGGGAACUGCGUCCGAUACUGGCGGGCUUGAAUCCGGGAGAGGGAUGCGGAAUUCCAGGUGUAGCGGUGAAAUGCGCAGAUAUCGGGAAGAACACCGGUGGCGAAGGCGGCUCUCUGGGCCUGUCCUGACGCUCAGGCGCGAAAGCUAGGGGAGCGAACGAGG
rnacentral:rRNA from 1 species